rnacentral:rRNA from 1 species
AACCAGCACCUCAAGUGGUCAGGAUGAUUAUUGGGCCUAAAGCAUCCGUAGCCUGCUUUGUAAGUUUUCGGUUAAAUCCAUACGCUUAACGUAUGGGCUGCCGGGAAUACUGCACAGCUAGGGAGUGGGAGAGGUAGACGGUACUCGGUAGGAAGGGGUAAAAUCCUUUGAUCUAUCGAUGACCACCUGUGGCGAAGGCGGUCUACCAGAACACGUCCGACGGUGAGGGAUGAAAGCUGGGGGAGCAAACCGG